GGAAGUAAAAGCGUAACAAGGUUUCCGUAGGUGAACCUGCGGAAGGAUCAUUAGUGAACGCCCUCGCGGGCUUAUAACUAUUCCAAACCUCUGUGAACCGUGCCCUUCGGGGCUAUUUUACAAACAUGGUGUAAUGAACGUCAUAUAUCAUAACAAAACAAAACUUUCAACAACGGAUCUCUUGGCUCUC
rnacentral:misc_RNA from 1 species